GGGUUGUGAGGUUAAGCGACUAAGCGUACACGGUGGAUGCCCUGGCAGUCAGAGGCGAUGAAGGACGUGCUAAUCUGCGAUAAGCGUCGGUAAGGUGAUAUGAACCGUUAUAACCGGCGAUUUCCGAAUGGGGAAACCCAGUGUGUUUCGACACACUAUCAUUAACUGAAUCCAUAGGUUAAUGAGGCGAACCGGG
rnacentral:rRNA from 2 species